GAUCCUGGCUCAGGAUGAACGCUAGCGACAGGCUUAACACAUGCAAGUCGAGGGGCAGCACAGGUAGCAAUACCGGGUGGCGACCGGCGCACGGGUGAGUAACGCGUAUGCAACUUACCUAUCAGAGGGGGAUAACCCGGCGAAAGUCGGACUAAUACCGCAUGAAGCAGGGGUCCGGCCAUGGGGAGGUAUUUGUCUAAAGAAUUCUAUCGCUGAUAGAUAGGCGACGCGUUCCACUUAGGCGAG
rnacentral:rRNA from 1 species